AUGGAUCAGCAUCAGCGGGAGGACCAACGCCACCUCCUGCUCCACAAGGAGGAGGAGCAGGAUGACAGCCUCCGCACAUGGAAGGAGCAGCUCCUUGGACCAGAUGUUGUCCACACCACCAGCCUCCUUGGAGAAAAGACUAGUAGUGUGCAACUGCAAGGUUCCCCGGGGAAUGCUGCUUGCUCUGUGCUGUCUUCCUCAGUUGGGCCGUCAGAAGCUCUACCAAUUGUCGUAGGCCUAGCUUGGACUCUUCAGAAUGGAGGCAACGCUGCUCCUAUGCAAUCCCCAGGAGUUGAUUCGUUGUCCGUGCACAAGAGAGGCCGUGGGAGGCCAAGAAAGGACCAACAAUCACGACAAGCAAACCCUCCUCCUCCUCCGACUCCAACUGCGUCAAGGCGGGGGAUCAAGGUAGGGUGUGGGAGACCAAUGCUAGCUCCUACAUCUCAUCUGGAGACACAUAGAGGGCCUCCUGGGAGUUGGAGGCCAAUAAUAAUAGAGAAGCUACUAGCAGCAUGCUGGUCUGUUGAUGCUGCGUCCACAGGAAUCAAGAGACCGCGUGGGAGGCCAAGAAUGUACACACCAUCCGCUCCUGAUACUGGAGAUGCUGCGUCAGCGGGGAUCAAGAGAGGACGUGGGAGGCCAAGAAAGGAGAGGCCAGAUGCUGCGUCGUCGGGGAUCAAGAGAGGCCGUGGGAGACCAAGAAAGGAGAAGCCAGAAGCAAGAAUGUGUGCUGAAACUGGAUAUGCAUUUGCGUCAACGGGAAUCAAGAGAGGGGGUGGGCAUCCAGAACUAGAAAUGGAGAUGCUAGCAGCAGCAGCAGCAAUGUUGGCUGAAACUGGAGAUGAUGCUGUGCCAAAGGGAACCAAGGGAGUGGUUGAGAAUCCAAGAUCAGUUGAUGUCGUGUCAACGGGGAUGGAGGGAGCACUUGAGAAUCCAAAUCCAAGAACUGAGAAUCCAUCAGCAGGUGAUGUUAUGUCGAUGGUGAUGAAGAGAGGACGUGGGAGGCCGAGAAAGAACCAACAACCACAAGCACCGACGACUCCAGCUGCGUUGUCAACUGGGGGUAUCAAGAGAGGGCGUGGGAGGCCGAGAAAGGACCAACAACCACAAGCACCGACGACUCCAGCUGCGUUGUCAACUGGGGGUAUCAAGAGAGGGCGUGGGAGGCCGAGAAAGGAGCAACAAUCACAAGCACCGACGACUCCAGCUGCGUUGUCUACUGGGGGUAUCAAGAGAGGGCGUGGGAGGCCGAGAAAGGACCAACAACCACAAGCACCGACGACUCCAGCUGCGUUGUCAACUGGGGGUAUCAAGAGAGGGCGUGGGAGGCCGAGAAAGGAGCAACAAUCACAAGCACCGACGACUCCAACUGCGUUGUCAACUGGUGGUAUCAAGAUAGGGCAUGGGAGGCCGAGAAAGGAGCAGCAAUCAGAACCAAAGCCUCCUCUGACUCCAACUGUGUCAAGGAGGAGGGGGAUCAAGGUAGGGUGUGGGAGGCCAAUGAUAAUAGAGAAGCCACCAGCAGCAAGGUCGUCUGUUGAUGCUGCGUUGUCAGGAAUCAAGAGACCGCGUGGGAGGCCAAGGAAGGAGACAGCAUCAGUAGGAAUGUCCGCGGAAACUGGAGAUGCAACGCCUGCUCCUGAAACUGGAGAUGCAGCUGCGUCGACGGUGAUGAAAAGAGGGCGUGGGAGGCCAAGAAAGGCGGGGAUCAAGAGAGGAGUGUGUGGUGAAGCUGGAGAUGCAGCAACAGGCGGUACAAGUGCAAGCAAGAGAGGACGUGGGAGACCAAGAAAGGAGGAGAGGCGAGAUGGUGCGGUGUCAGGGAUGGAGAGAGGGCGUGGGAGGCCAAGAAAGGAGAAGGCAGAAGAAGAAGCAGGAAUGGAUAUGCUAGCAGCAGCAGCGGCGGCAAUGUUGGCCGAGAGUGGGUGGAGAUGA
rnacentral:rRNA from 1 species